GAUUAUCUCAUGUUCAUCAUACCUUAGAUGAAGAACUCAUCCACAGUUACUUGUAUACUAACAUGGAAGACACAUAUAACAGAAUUUUUUGACAUGUAAGACGGAUUUUCUGCCUCUUGCAUGAGACCAGUUUGGCAAACUUGCGCUUGAAUGUACUAUCUUUUCUACAGUGAGUCGAAACAGCUAGCCGCUAGAGUUCUUACUGAAAAACAAACUCAUCUUCACACCUUACAUUCUGCUUUGCAUUAUCUCCUGGAAAAUCUCCAUAUAUAGAACAACAAUAUUGUUUCACGGCCAUAAGGGCGACAAAAUGAACUUGAUGAUAGUCAUCUUUCAGGUGAAAGAUUCACAUAAGAAGUCUAUCCUCGAGGUGCCAAUUCCAGUAUCAGUAAGAGGGUCUUCGCCCCUUAAUAUAUGCAAUGACUUCAGUAUCCCUGACUUAAGCAUCUCACUUCGUCCGAAUUAGUUCAAGGGGAAUACUUUCCGCUGCAUGCCAUGAUUUCAGAGUUUUGAAAUUGGAUUUCGAAUGCACCUUCGAUUGCUCUGACUGGAAGGUUAUUACGAGGGUGACUUUGAACUCUAUGGAAAAGGGACCAGCAAAUAUUGACGGACAAGUCAAAAGACGGGGAAGAAUAAUGUAGAUGGGGAGAGUCAUGCCUCGACAUAUAUCUCCAUCUGCUAUCUGAGUUGUCUGUAUCAAAGAGGAUUCAGUUGCUAUCUUUUCUCCAACCAAAAUUGACUCCAGUCGGAGCAAGUGAACGUCAAUGGAUAGGAUAGGAACAGCAGAUGAUUCAAUAGUGAGCUCACCUUCAAUAGGAUCCGACAAAGAACAUAGCGUGCACAUUUUACCGCUUACCCUAAAUCCCCCUGAUUUUAGCUCUG
rnacentral:misc_RNA from 1 species